CAUACCUCCCUGUAUUCCAGGUACCUCAGUGGUGAUCAUUGUGUGUGUGAGUCUGGCUGUGUUGGUGUUUGCUGUCAUCACCCUCAUAUUCUACAGGUGCUGACGACGCAACAAGGCUCUAGGUGAGAUACCAUCAAUAUCACACACACACAUAUACAUACAAAGAUUUAUAAUAUACAGUCUAUUGUGUGUUUCACAGGGUCAAUCUCGAACAGGCCUGAUGCAGACACAGGAAGCACUGAAGAGGUUGAUGAUGAGGAAGAUGGUGAUGAUGAAGAAAAUAUAACUUCCACCCACAAUGCAGCGGCCCCUCAGCCCGUGUCUACCGCUGACCCAGAAUGCAUUGCUCAUGUCCCCGCCCUCUACCAAUCAGCCUUUUAAGCACUCGACCCUAAAGCAUUGGACCAGAACCUCAACAAUAUCACAACUACUAACUCCGGAUAGACUGUAGCACAGAGAUCCUAAUAAAAUCUGAUUUACAUGGAAUUACAUUUCAAUAUGUAAUGAAGUUCUAAUAUGUAAUUAGAUUCUAAUAUGUAAUUCUAUGCUCUGUAUUCUGAAGAGAAGAGGUCGUGUUAUCGUUACCAGAGCUGGGGUCCAAUUGAAUAGAAUUCAAUUAAAUUCAUUAAAAUAAUCACAAUUCAA